ensembl:lncRNA
AUUUUCUGCUUCUUCCACCACGUCGCGCCCCGAGAUCUUCUUCAUCCCCUCCCAUGGCCCCCCAACCUUUGGCUGUCUCCUCCUGGAUUGUCCCCACGAGGGGACGAGGUUGGGAGACACCAAACUCAACGAAGGCCCCAGACGAGAUUUUGGAUUUCCAAACCCCUCGUUAGAUCGACGAGACCCCAAAAACACAACUCGGACCCCAAAAACACAACUCGGACCCCAAAAAACUCAACUUGGACCCCAAAACCACAACUCGGACCCCAAAAACGCAACUCGGACCCCAAAACCGCAACUCGGACCCCAAAAACACAACUCGGACCCCAAAAACGCAACUCGGACCACAAAAACACAACUCGGACCCCAAAAACCACAACUCGGACCCCAAAAACACAACUCAGACCCCAAAAACACAACUCGGACCCCAAAAACGCAACUCGGACCCCAAAAACACAACUCGGACCCCAAAAACUCAACUUGGACCCCAAAAACUCAACUCAGACCCCAAAAACUCAACUCAGACCCCAAAAACCACAACUCGGACCCCAAAACCACAACUCAGACCCCCAAACCACAACUCAGACCCCAAAAACGCAACUCGGACCCCAAAACCACAACUCGGACCCCAAAACCACAACUUGGACCCCAAAACCACAACUCGGACCCCAAAAAACAGAACUCGGACCCCAAAAACGCAACUCGGACCUCAAAAACGCAACUUGGACCACAAAAACACAACUCGGACCCCAAAAAACACAACUCAGACCCCAAAAACACAACUCGGACCCCAAAAACGCAACUCGGACCCCAAAAACACAACUCGGACGCCAAAAACACAACUUGGACCCCAAAAACCACAACUCGGACCCCAAAAACACAACUUGGACCCCAAAUACACAACUCGGAACCCAAAACCACAACUUGGACUCUAAAACCACAACUCGGACCCCAAAUACACAACUCAGACCCCAAAAACUCAACUCGGACCCCAAAAACACAGCUCGGACCCCAAAAACGCAACUCGGACCCCAAAACCGCAACUCAGACCCCAAAACCCACAACUCAGACCCCAAAAAACUCAACUUGGACUCCAAAAACACAACUUGGACCCCAAAAACGCAACUCGGACCCCAAAAACCACAACUUGGACCCCAAAACCACAACUCGGACCCCAAAAACACAACUCGGACCCCAAAACUGCAACUCGGGCCCCAAAACCACAACUCGGACCCCAAAAAACACAACUUGGACCCCAAAAACACAACUUGGACCUCAAAAACGCAACUUGGACCCCAAAAACACAGCUCAGACCCCAAAACCACAACUAGGAUCCCAAAACCACAACUUGGACCCCAAAAACACAGCUCGGACCACAAAAAUGCAACUCGGACCCCAAAAACACAACUUGGACCCCAAAAACACAACUGGGACCCCAAAAAACACAACUGGGACCCCAAAAACAAAACUCGGACCCCAAAAACACAACUCAGACCCCAAAAACCAGAACUCGGACCCCAAAACCACAACUUGGACCCCAAAACCACAACUCGGACACCAAAACCACGACUGAGACCCCAAAACCACAACUCAGACCCCCCCAAAAACUUGAGGACGCCCAAGGUGACGACUCCGACCGCCGUCCCCUCGCCGCGGUGGCCACCAGGACUCACCUGGCCCGGCCGCUCUCCUCCUCCAAGGGGACGGAGCCGGGCAGGGGCGGCUCCUCCUUGA